rfam:Candidatus Parvarchaeum acidophilus ARMAN-5 ARM5contig_1559, whole genome shotgun sequence.
GCAGAGGUAGCGAAGCGGUCAAACGUGUAAGGCUAAGGACCUUAUGGCUCAGGCCUUCGAGGGUUCAAAUCCCUCCCUCUGCA